rnacentral:rRNA from 1 species
GUAGGUGGUUGAAAAAGUUGGUGGUGAAAUCCCAGAGCUUAACUCUGGAACUGCCAUCAAAACUUUUCAGCUAGAGUAUGAUAGAGGAAAGCAGAAUUUCUAGUGUAGAGGUGAAAUUCGUAGAUAUUAGAAAGAAUMCCAAUUGCGAAGGCAGCUUUCUGGAUCAUUACUGACACUGAGGAACGAAAGCAUGGGUAGCGAAGAGGAUUAGAUACCCUCGUAGUCCAUGCCGUAAACGAUGUGUGUUAGACGUUGGAAAUUUAUUUUCAGUGUCGCAGGGAAACCGAUAAACACACCGCCUGGGG